GGAGGUGUAGCAUAAGAGGUAGAGCACCUGCCUGGUAAGUGUAAGGCCUUGAGUUCAAACCUCAGUGCCACCA
rnacentral:tRNA from 1 species